rnacentral:rRNA from 1 species
UACGGAGGAUCCGAGCGUUAUCCGGAAUUACUGGGCGUAAAGAGUUGCGUAGGUGGCAUUGUAAGUUUGUAGUGAAAGCGUUCGGCUCAACCGAAUAAACAUUAUGAAAACUGCAAAGCUAGAGGAUGAGAGAGGUUAUUGGAAUUCCCAGUGUAGGAGUGAAAUCCGUAGAUAUUGGGAGGAACACCGAUGGCGUAGGCAGAUAACUGGCUCAUUCCUGACACUAAGGCACGAAAGCGUGGGGAGCAAACGGG